AUACGUAGGGAGCGAGCGUUGUCCGGAAUUACUGGGCGUAAAGGGUGCGUAGGCGGCAUGGCAAGUCAGGUGUGAAAUCCCCGGGCUUAACUCGGGGGGUGCAUUUGAAACUGCUUAGCUUGAGUGCAGGAGAGGAAAGCGGAAUUCCUAGUGUAGCGGUGAAAUGCGUAGAUAUUAGGAAGAACACCAGUGGCGAAGGCGGCUUUCUGGACUGUAACUGACGCUGAGGCACGAAAGCGUGGGGAGCAAACAGGAUGAGAUACCCUGGUAGUCCACGCUGUAAACGAUGGAUACUAGGUGUGGGGGAGAUACAACCUCUGUGCCGGAGCAAACGCAAUAAGUAUCCCGCCUGGGGAGUACGGUCGCAAGGCUGAA
rnacentral:rRNA from 1 species